UACGGAGGAUCCAAGCGUUAUCCGGAAUUACUGGGCGUAAAGAGUUGCGUAGGUGGCAUAGUAAGUCGGUAGUGAAAGCGUGGGGCUCAACCCCAUGCACAUUAUCGAAACUGCUAAGCUUGAGGAUGAGAGAGGUUAUUGGAAUUCCCAGUGUAGGAGUGAAAUCCGUAGAUAUUGGGAGGAACACCGAUGGCGUAGGCAGAUAACUGGCUCAUUCCUGACACUAAGGCACGAAAGCGUGGGGAGCAAACGGG
rnacentral:rRNA from 1 species